GAAUGGAAAAUGUGAAAAAUAGCUUCAUUGCAUUGCCAUGACAGAUGGGUAUACAUGUCCACAUCGAGACACUAAAUACUGUCAUAUGGGAAUGUUAAAAAAGAUUAGAAUUUCAAGUCCAUAAAUGACCAGAUAAAUGAUCCCUCUAGCAACAAUGAUGAUCAAUUGCAUCACAAGUUUCAUCCAUUAUCCUUCAAACCAAAUUUCCUAGGCUACAGACAGAAUAUAUGACAAAUAUCAGGCAGCUACAACAAGGCAAAACAAUGGAUAUUUCUUGAAAUUCAAGAAACCUGAGCUAAGGAAUUGUUUUAUUUUAUCAUACAGCAUUAUAUAUGUGACAAGUGAGGAAAGGAAGCUGAAGUGAACGUCACGCCAUUUACAUCCAGGGCAUUUGAGAACUUAAUAGAAAAUGCGUGCAUUUAAUAUGAAAAAAAGUAUCGACCAUUUUGUCAGGCUUCUUUUCUCCCAUCUUACUUCCAGAGUUACACUUGUUCAUUCAUUGUC
rnacentral:misc_RNA from 1 species